rnacentral:rRNA from 1 species
ACGAAGGGUGCGAGCGUUGUUCGGAAUUACUGGGCGUAAAGGGUUUGUAGGCUGAAAGAUAAGUCAAGUGUGAAAUCCCCGAGCUAAACUUGGGACGUGCAUUUGAAACUGUUUUUCUUGAGUUUCGUAGAGGGUGGUGGAAUUGUAGGUGUAGGAGUGACAUCCGUAGAGAUCUGCAGGAACAUCAGAGGCGAAGGCGACCACCUGGCCGAUUACUGACGCUGAGGAACGAAAGCGUGGGGAGCAAACAGGA